rnacentral:tRNA from 1 species
GUGGGUAUCGUUCAGUGGCAGAACAUCAUCAUUACAAGGUGAAUAUCGUUGGUUCGAAUCCAAUGACCUGCU